AAGAAGACGAGAGAGAGAGAGAGAGAGAGAGAGAGAGAGAGAGAGAGAGAGAGAGAGAGAGGAAGAGAGAGAAAAGAGGGAGACAGUUUACGAGCAUUCACGAUGGGAAAUCGAUACGAUAUUUCAUCCGUUUUGCCGUCAACGGCCUCCAAGGUGCGAACAGCCAAGUCGCAGAGGCUGCACCCACCGA